rnacentral:rRNA from 1 species
CCUACGGGGUGCAGCAGUCGAGAAUCAUUCACAAUGGGGGAAACCCUGAUGGUGCGACGCCGCGUGGGGGAAUGAAGGUCUUCGGAUUGUAAACCCCUGUCAUGUGGGAGCAAAUUAAAAAGAUAGUACCACAAGAGGAAGAGACGGCUAACUCUGUGCCAGCAGCCGCGGUAAUACAGAGGUCUCAAGCGUUGUUCGGAAUCACUGGGCGUAAGGCGUGCGUAGGCUGUUUCGUAAGUCGUGUGUGAAAGGCGCGGGCUCAACCCGCGGACGGCAUAUGAUACUGCGAGACUAGAGUAAUGGAGGGGGAACCGGAAUUCUCGGUGUAGCAGUGAAAUGCGUAGAUAUCGAGAGGAACACUCGUGGCGAAGGCGGGUUCCUGGACAUUAACUGACGCUGAGGCACGAAGGCCAGGGGAGCGAAAGGGAUUAGAUACCCCAGUAGUC